UACGAGUAGUUAGCCUAACCGCAAGGAGGGCGAUUACCACGGUAGGGUUCAUGACUGGGGUGAAGUCGUAACAAGGUAGCCGUAUCGGAAGGUGCGGCUGGAUCACCUCCUUUA
rnacentral:rRNA from 1 species